rnacentral:rRNA from 1 species
CCUAGCGGCGGACGGGUGAGUAAUGCUUAGGAAUCUGCCUAUUAGUGGGGGACAACAUUUCGAAAGGAAUGCUAAUACCGCAUACGCCCUACGGGGGAAAGCAGGGGAUCUUCGGACCUUGCGCUAAUAGAUGAGCCUAAGUCGGAUUAGCUAGUUGGUGGGGUAAUGGCUCACCAAGUCGACGAUCCGUAACUGGUCUGAGAGGAUGAUCAGUCACACUGGAACUGAGACACGGUCCAGACUCCUACGGGAGGCAGCAGUGGGGAAUAUUGGACAAUGGGCGCAAGCCUGAUCCAGCCAUGCCGCGUGAGUGAUGAAGGCCUUAGGGUUGUAAAGCUCUUUCAGUGGGGAAGAUAAUGACGGUACCCAGUAAAGAAGCCCCGGCUAACUCCGUGCCAGCAGCCGCGGUAAUACGGAGGGAGCUAGCGUUGUUCGGAAUUACUGGGCGUAAAGCGCACGUAGGCGG